rnacentral:rRNA from 1 species
GUAACGCGUGAGAAUCUAGCUUCAGGAUGGGGACAACAGAGGGAAACCGCUGCUAAUACCCGAUGUGCCUUAGGGUGAAAGAUUUAUCGCCUGAAGAUGAGCUCGCGUCCGAUUAGCUAGUUGGUAGAGUAAGAGCCUACCAAGGCGACGAUCGGUAGCUGGUCUGAGAGGAUGACCAGCCACACUGGGACUGAGACACGGCCCAGACUCCUACGGGAGGCAGCAGUGGGGAAUUUUCCGCAAUGGGCGAAAGCCUGACGGAGCAAGACCGCGUGAGGGAGGAAGGCUCUUGGGUUGUAAACCUCUUUUCUCUGGGAAGAAGCUCUGACGGUACCAGAGGAAUCAGCAUCGGCUACCUCCGUGCCAGCAGCCGCGGUAAUACGGAGGAUGCAAGCGUUAUCCGGAAUUAUUGGGCGUAAAGCGUCCGUAGGUGGCUCUUCAAGUCUGCCGUUAAAACCAGUGGCUUAACUACUGAUAGGCGGUGGAAACUGAAAGGCUAGAGUGUGGUAGGGGUAGAGGGAAUUCCCAGUGUAGCGGUGAAAUGCGUAGAGAUUGGGAAGAACUUCCGGUGUCGAACAACUCUUC